CCUACGGGAGGCUGUAGUGAGGAAUAUUGGUCAAUGGGCGCGAGCCUGAACCAGCUAAGUAGCGUGAAGGAUGACUGCCCUACGGGUUGUAAACUUCUUUUAUAAAGGAAUAAAGUGAGGCACGUGUGCCUUUUUGUAUGUACUUUAUGAAGAAGCUCCGGCUAACUACGUGCCAGCAGCCGCGGUAAUACGUAGGGGGCAAGCGUUAUCCGGAUUUGCUGGGUGUAAAGGGGGCGCAGACGGCGAGGCAAGGUAGGAGUGAAAGCCCGGGGCCGAACCCCGGAACUGCUCAUGGAACUGCGUGGCUGGAGUGCGGGAGGGGCAGGCGGAAUUCCUGGUGUAGCAGUGAAAUGCGUAGAUAUCAGGAAGAACACCGAUGGCGAAGGCAGCCUGCUGGACUGCAACUGACGUUGAGACCCGAAAGCGUGGGGAGCAAACAGGAUUAGAUACCCUUGUAGUC
rnacentral:rRNA from 1 species